rnacentral:rRNA from 1 species
AACGAACGCUGGCGGCGUGCUUAACACAUGCAAGUCGAACGGAAAGGGCCUGCUUUUGUGGGGUGCUCGAGUGGCGAACGGGUGAGUAACACAUGAGUAACCUGCCCUUGACGUGGUGAUAACUGCAGAAAACUGGGGCUAAUACCGGCGAGGAGCUCCUGCUGCAUGGGGGGGGUUGGAAAGUUUCGGCGGUGAGGGAUGGACUCGGGGCUUAUCAGCUUGUGGGGUGGGUAGUUGCUUACCCGGGCAUUGGCGGGUAGCCUGCAUGGGAGCGUGGCCAGCCACCUUGGGACUGAGAUAGGGCCCAGACUCCUACGGUAGGCAACAGUGGGGAAUCUUGCACAAUGGGCGGACGCCUGAUGCAGCAACGCCGGGUGCGGGAUGACGGCUUUCGGGUUGUAAACCGCUUUAGCCUGUGACGAAGCGUGAUUGACGGUACUGGCUAAAGAAGCACCGGCUAACUACGUG